UGUAGGACUGGAUCAGUACUGUGCAGCUGCUACAGCAAGCCUUUGGCUUGGGCAGGAGUGCAGGUAUUGCCAUCCUUUCCAGCACUGACAAAGAUCUAUCUGUGAGGCUGCACUCGUUUUCAGCUGGGAUGACAGGAACUACAUCAGGAACUAUAUUCGGAAGAAGAGGGGAGGAAAAAAAGGAAGAAGAAAAAAGGAAAACAGCAUGCAGAGAAGAACUAUAUACUUGGAACAAAACAGGUACAGUUACUUCGUGCUGGAUUUAUUUCCGCACAACAUAACAGCUUUCCACAAUAUGCUUUAGAUGGAAUUCCCAGGUGACUUACUGUUGUAUUUAAAUACUGCUUGCUUAGGAUUUAAAUAAACAGCUUUUAUAUUAAUUAGAAACA
rnacentral:lncRNA from 1 species